rnacentral:tRNA from 1 species
GGCACUAUGGCCGAGUGGUUAAGGCGAGAGACUCGAACCAAACAAGAUAUCUCUUGGGCUCUGCCCGCGCUGGUUCAAAUCCUGCUGGUGUCG